rnacentral:rRNA from 1 species
CCCUUAGAUGUUCUGGGCCGCACGCGCGCUACACUGAUGCAUUCAACGAGCCUAUCCUUGACCGACAGGUCCGGAUAAUCUUUGAAUCUGCAUCGUGACGGGGAUAGAUUAUUGCAAUUAUUAAUCUUCAACGAGGAAUGCCUAGUAGGCGCAAGUCAUCAGCUUGCGUCGAUUACGUCCCUGCCCUUUGUACACACCGCCCGUCGCUCCUACCGAUUGGGUGUGCUGGUGAAAUGUUCGGAUCGGCCGUUUGUCGCGGUUUCCGCGUCAUGUGGCUGAGAAGUUCAUUAAACCCUCCCACCUAGAGGAAGGAGAAGUCGUAACA